GUCUCUGUGGAGUAAUGUAACUCACUCCUUCUCGGUUCAUACAUCUAAAUUCUCGCAAUAUCAAGGAGUGUCGGUGGUUCGAAUCCACCCAGAGACA